CGGCGUGCCUAACACAUGCAAGUCGAGCGAGGAGAUCCUCGGGAUGAUCCUAGCGGCGGACGGGUGAGUAACACGUGGGCAACCUGCCUCAUAGAGAGGAAUAGCCUUCCGAAAGGGAGAUUAAUACCUCAUAACAUUGCAGUUUCGCAUGGAACAGCAAUUAAAGGAGUAAUCCGCUAUGAGAUGGGCCCGCGGCGCAUUAGCUAGUUGGUGAGGUAAUGGCUCACCAAGGCGACGAUGCGUAGCCGACCUGAGAGGGUGAUCGGCCACAUUGGGACUGAGACACGGCCCAGACUCCUACGGGAGGCAGCAGUGGGGAAUAUUGCACAAUGGGGGAAACCCUGAUGCAAGCAACGCCGCGUGAGUGAUGACGGCCUUCGGGUUGUAAAGCUCUGUCUUCAGGGACGAUAAUGACGGUACCUGAGGAGGAAGCCACGGCUAACUACGUGCCAGCAGCCGC
rnacentral:rRNA from 1 species